UACGUAUGGUGCAAGCGUUAUCCGGAUUUACUGGGUGUAAAGGGAGCGCAGGCGGCACGGCAAGCCUGAUGUGAAAGCCCGCGGCCCAACCGCGGGACUGCAUUGGGAACUACCGGGCUGGAGUGCCGGAGAGGUAGGCGGAAUUCCUAGUGUAGCGGUGAAAUGCGUAGAUAUUAGGAGGAACACCAGUGGCGAAGGCGGCCUGCUGGGCUUUAACUGACGCUGAGGCUCGAAAGCGUGAGUAGCAAACAGG
rnacentral:rRNA from 1 species